UUUCCGUAUGUGAACCUGCGGAAGGAUCAUUAUUGUAUAGCCGAGGUGCGAGGGCUGUCGCUGACCCGAAAGGUCGUGCACGCCCGAGUGCCCUCACACACAUCCAUCUCACCCCUAUGUGCACCACCGCGUGGGUCCCCCUUUGGCUUGUUCGGAGGGGGGCUUACGUUUUCACACAAACUUUGUAUGCAGUGUAGAAUGUAUUUUUUGUUUUUGCGAUCACGCAAUCAAUACAACUUUCAACAACGGAUCUCUUGGCUCUC
rnacentral:misc_RNA from 1 species